rnacentral:rRNA from 1 species
GGCCACAGCCAUAUCACCCUGCAGUCCCAGACAGUUUACUCACUGAAGCCAAGUAGGGCUGAGCCUGGUCAGUAUCUGGAUGGGAGAUCACAUUGGAAAACUAGGUUGCUGUUAGAC